rnacentral:rRNA from 1 species
AAUCCUGGCUCAAGAUGAACGCUAGCUACAGGCUUAACACAUGCAAGUCGAGAGGCAGCAUUUUAGUUUGCUUGCAAACUAAAGAUGGCGACCGGCGCACGGGUGAGUAACACGUAUCCAACCUGCCGAUAACUCGGGGAUAGCCUUUCGAAAGAAAGAUUAAUAUCCGAUAGUAUAUUUUCUCCGCAUGGCGAGAAUAUUAAAGAAUUUCGGUUAUCGAUGGGGAUGCGUUCCAUUAGUUUGUUGGCGGGG